UACGUAGGGUGCGAGCGUUAAUCGGAAUUACUGGGCGUAAAGCGUGCGCAGGCGGUUUUGUAAGCCAGACGUGAAAUCCCCGGGCUUAACCUGGGAAUGGCAUUUGGGACUGCAAGGCUUGAGUGCGGCAGAGGAGACUGGAAUUCCUGGUGUAGCAGUGAAAUGCGUAGAUAUCAGGAGGAAUACCGAUGGCGAAGGCAGGUCUCUGGGCUGACACUGACGCUCAUGCACGAAAGCGUGGGGAGCAAACAGG
rnacentral:rRNA from 1 species